rnacentral:rRNA from 1 species
CCUACGGGGGGCUGCAGUCGAGAAUCUUCCGCAAUGGGGGAAACCCUGACGGAGCGACGCCGCGUGCGGGAUGAAGGCCUUCGGGUUGUAAACCGCUGUCGAAGGGGAGCAAAUUUUGAGCGAUCCUUGGAGGAAGCACCGGCUAAACUCGUGCCAGCAGCCGCGGUAAUACGAGUGGUGCAAACGUUAUUCGGAAUCACUGGGCUUAAAGGGUGCGUAGGCGGCUGCAGAAGUCAGGUGUGAAAUCCCUCGGCUCAACCGAGGAACUGCGCUUGAAACUCUGCGGCUCGAGGGAGACAGAGGUGAGCGGAACUGAUGGUGGAGCGGUGAAAUGCGUUGAUAUCAUCAGGAACACCGGUGGCGAAAGCGGCUCACUGGGUCUUUUCUGACGCUGAGGCACGAAAGCUAGGGGAGCAAACGGGAUUAGAUACCCUUGUAGU